rnacentral:rRNA from 1 species
UGGGGAAUUUUCCGCAAUGGGCGAAAGCCUGAUGCAGCAACGCCGCGUGCGGGAAGAAGGCCUUAGGGUUGUAAACCGCUUUCAGCAGGGAAGAAAAUGACGGUACCUGCAGAAGAAGGUGCGGCCAACUACGUGCCAGCAGCCGCGGUGACACGUAGGCACCAAGCGUUGUCCGGAUUUAUUGGGCGUAAAGAGCUCGUAGGCGGUUCGGUAAGUCGGGUGUGAAAACUCUGGGCUCAACCUUGGAAC